GAUGAGGUGGCCGAGUGGUUAUGGCGUUGGACUGCUAAUCCAAUGUGCUCUGCACACGUGGGUUCGAAUCUCAUCCUCUUCG
rnacentral:tRNA from 1 species